rnacentral:rRNA from 1 species
UACGUAGGGUGCAAGGCGUUGUCCGGAAUUAUUGGGCGUAAAGAGCUCGUAGGCGGUUUGUCGCGUCUGCUGUGAAAACUCGGGGCUUAACUCCGGGCCUGCAGUGGGUACGGGCAGACUAGAGUGCGGUAGGGGAGACUGGAAUUCCUGGUGUAGCGGUGAAAUGCGUAGAUAUCGGAGGAACACCUGUGGCGAAGGCGGCCCCUGGUUGGAUACUGACGCUGAUACG